GCCGGCCCGUGCUGAGAACAGGAUGCGGGGCCGGAGGCCGGGGGGUCGCAGAUUCGCCUCUCUUCCACCCCCGCCCCCGCCCCCGCGUGCUGGGAACCGCCCUCUUGCCCAUUCCCUGCGCUUGAGCCUUUGUGCUGCCUUUGGCAGCUGCUCCUAGCGGCGAAGUUUCUGCCUCGCCACUCGGCAGAGUGUUUUGAACUCACAGAGGUAGAAAUGAGGGCUGGGAGGGACCUCAGGGGGUCACAUCUAGUCCAACCCCUGCUCACCGCAGGGCCAGCCCCAGCUAGACCAUCCCAGCCAAGGCGUUGUCUGGCCGGGUUUUGAAACCCCCCAAGGGUGGAGGCAGUCCAACAAAGUUCCGUUUGUUUCUGCUUCAACCGAGUAGACGGGCCCGUGGCCACUAGCGUAGUAGUAAGGCUUCGACUUUAUCUCUAAUUGGAGAAAGAUAUGUGUUAUUUUAGAUUUGCUGAUGCACCACACCAUUUGCAUGCCCCUUUUCCAAAUUCUGGAUCUGCCCAUGCCUGCGUGUACUCGUUUCAGGUGGUUUUCACAGUGUUUGAGACUCUUGAGGGCAAGGGAGGGGCGCGGGUAUGAUUUACCAACCUAUAGAGUAGUGCUCCAAAGAGCAAUUUGGUCAUUUUGCAAAAUUCACUUUCACACAGAGCAGAUGGCCUGCCACGCUGGUCUGUGUCCUGUAUCUCGGGCUGGAGCGAGCGCUGGGCCUGCACUGACUAGUUCCUCACUCUGUCCUGACAUGCCCUCUGCUCCCUGUGUGCUUGGUCACUAGUGUAACUAAACAGAUUUUCUGCUCUUUGUGGAGUUAGUUAUGUCAGUAACUCUGCCCACUGCAGCUUACGCUCAUGUGGCAGGACUGAAAUCUGUCAGUGUAAGUGUAACCAAAGCAACGCUUCUACUGCAGUUUUGUAUUGCAGAAAUUUUAUCCUGCUCUUUUUUGGGGGGGAGGAGGAAAGCUUUUCUUUUCUCAUUGAAAGGAGUGACCCAGUCCUGUGUUUGUCCCUGUUGUCUUGUCUUCUUUCUGCUCAGUUUUCUACAGUAACUUGCAAUGAAUAGGAAUUGACAAAAGUCACAUAAUAAGGGCUCUAGGUCAGGGGUAUCAAAGGUAUGGCCUGUGGGCGAGAUCCAGCACACACAGCCCUGUUUUCUAGCCUGCAGUGCUUGCCCUGGGUCCAGAGUUGACACAUGCUCUGCACACAGCACAUGCCAGACCAGCCCCCUGCACAGGGCUCUGAACAUGUACCGCAAGUGAUGCCUGCUUCAGCUGGCCUAGGACCCGUGCUGCAUGCUGCAUCUGCUCAGCUAGUCCAGGACAUGUGCCGCACAUGGAGGCGGGUUCAGGAUAUGUGCUGCAUGCAGUGCCUCCUCUGACAGGCCUCAGGUAUUACAUGCAGUGUGAGUCCCAGAGCAAGCACCAUAUGCUGCGUGUAUCUUAGACCAGCCCCACACAGGUGCCAUGUGCAGCACAGUUCUGGACUGGCCAAAGCAGGUGCCAUGUGUGCUGGAUUUGGCAUGUGUGGGGAGAGAGUCUGUGUGUUUGGCCUGGCCCAGGGGACAGCCCUGCACCAUUCAUCUGGCCCACGGACCAGCCUGAUACAACUCAUCCAGUCCACAUGGCCAGGAUAGCAUUAUCACAUACCAUCUAAUUUUCAUGAGGAGCUUAAUGAGGAGGAAGAAAUACAGUCUGUUGUUACAUCUCCAAGGAUAUCAAGCGGGAAGCCCAGUCAGAAGUGGCAGCAAAUACUGAAGUGUUACUUCUGUAGAGAGAUGUCAAACAGCCUCUGGAGCUGCUCUACAUGGCACACUGGACUACCUGCAGGACACUGAAAGUUGGAGGCAUGUGGCAGCAGCAGAGCAUAUGGUGGUGGCCUUGCGACAUAUUUCCCUUCCUCCCUGUGCUGGAACUGGAGCGGCAAGGAACACAUAGUGGCAGCAACUCCAGCUCUAACCCAGGGCACAUGCCAGGGGCUGGAGCUGGCCCUGUGUGCUCUGUCACUACCUGCUCCACUGCAUUCUUGAACUAUGGGCUGGAUCCAGCUCACAAUGAGGUCUGCAAUCCAGAUCCAGCCCAGAACACAAGAUGAGUUUGACACCCUUGACUCCCAAGAAUUGCAGCUUGUAAAUCAAAAACAUGAGUCCUACUAAGAUGUUUCAACCUUUAGGAAAUUUACCAUGUCUUUUAAUUAUAACAUUUUUUUUUUAGAAGAAUCAUCAAAAUUUCCUUUUGCAUUGUUUUCUGUAUAAGUCCAUGUUGUAUUCAGUGAAUUGCAAUUUAAAAACUUAUACUGUUCCUGACACGUUGUACAUAGUAACAUGCAACCAAGGAUUUAAAUUACAAACUGUUUAUGUAGUGUAAUUGAAUAAGAGUGGCACUGCAUGAUUUACUUUAAAAAUAGCAACAACGUCAAAAAAAGGCAGCGCCUCUGAUGCAAAGUUUGUUACAGAUUUUUGUGAUUCUGUCUACUUGCUUUCACUUCUCCUUAAUUAGAUUUCCUGUUUUUGCAAAGAGAAGGGUGACUUGGUCAAGCAGUAGGCUGGGAACAUGAUCUUUGCCACAGAGCUCUGGAUAGAAACAAGGAGAGCAAGAUUGCAUUUACCAAGGCCAUAGAAAAGCAGGUUUUAAUCAUAAUGUGAGAUUGUUACAGAUGGACAGGAAUCGCUGGAUCUGUGAGGUAUCAUGCAGAGAGUGUCCACAGUAUUUAGCCUGGAUGGAAGGUCUAGACCAGUGGUUCUUAAUGUUUCUACAUUUGAGGCAUCCCUUGUUUGACUUGAGGCACCCUUCUGUGAACUGAGCAGUACCCAUUUAAAAAAAGUAUUUAUUACAGUGCUUACCUCCUUGCAGAGCGGCUGGGUAGUGAAGGCAGGGCAGUUGCCAGGCAUGGACUCUCCUGAGCCUGCACUUAUCUCUUCACACCUGCUUAUUUCUUCACACUUUGCAACACACUUCCAAAGAUCUUGUGACACCCUGACUGAGAAUCACUAGUCUAGACAGAAGUCAGAGUCAAAAUUGGCACCUGAGUAAGUGAUAUCCAUGUGAUGAAGUCAAAGAUACAGGUCAGGAGUACAGAGGCAGAGCUGUGCAUUAGCAGCAUGGAGGUGGCAGCUGAAUUUGUGUUUGCAGAUGACUGGAAAGAAUGCAGAGAGAAAAGGAGGGGACCGAGGCCCAAGCACUGUGAAGCCUACAUGGAAAGUUGCAAUGGAGGUUGAGGAGGGUCCUCUGUAGGUUCCAUGCUGCAGGCGGGAUUAGUGAUGUAAGAGGAGAACAGAGAGAGGGUAGAGUCACAGAGACAAGGGCACUACCAAAAUCUGUAGAAGAUGAGCCUAGUCUGUCAUGUCACAGGGGGCUGAGAUGUCAAGGUGGAUAGAGAAGGAGAACUGGUUUGAGCUUUGUUUAGGAAGAGAUUAGAUUUUAGUGAGAGCAGUUUCUAUGCAGUACAAGGGAUAGAAACCAGACUGGAGAUGGCCUAGGAUAAAAAGGUGAGCUUUAGAUCAAUUGCCCCUGCCACCAUUUUUAAGUGUAGGGAUCCUGAUACAUGAAACGCUCUGGGCACUUUAAUUAGAGUCACUCUAAUUAAAGCUCCCCCCCACUCCCGGAGCACAUGUAUAAAUGCCCCAGAGGUAUCUAGACCUCAUGCGUAAAUUCUAUAGUUCCAAUUUUCAAACCAAAUUUUCAUUUUUUGCAGUAUAAUUUGUUUUCCAGUUUGGUUUUGGAUUCUAUAUUCACUAAUCCUUCUGUCAUCUUUGGGCUUGUAACUUGUCCUGUUUGAGCCAGGCUAGUCCCAUGUUUUUCAUAGAUACUGUUUUAUACUUUCAUUAUUGCUUCUUAACUAUCCAAGUCUAAAUAACACUGUGGAAUUUAUCCUUGUAGUUGCAAUCUUUGCCCCCUUCAUUUUGUUGUCCUCUUAUUUACUGAAUUGGUGAGGGGUGAGGGGCUUUCACUAGAUGGUGGGAUUAGAACAUUUGAACAUAAAAACUGCUACACUGGGUCAGACCAAAGGUCCAUCUGCUGAUAUCCUGUCUCCUAAAAUGCCAAAUAGCCAGUUUGAAGACACCCAGCCUUUUCAUUCUCUCCUCAUAUGGAAGCCAUUCCAUUCUCUUUGUUGCCCUUUUCUUUAGUACCUUCUUUAGUUCCACUGGCUGCAUCCACAUGAACAGGGGUGUGUGGUUGCAGCUGCACAAAUAGUAGCAGCACAAAUUUGUGCUGCUACUUUGUGCUGGAGUGUAUGCCUCUGCUUGUGCAGUUUUCAUUGGGACACAUUAUCCUGCUGCUCUGCAGGGAGGGCUGGCUGGGGCACAGGGUGCUUCAGUGAGGGGCUAGCCAGCAGGCAGCCCCCACUUUGAGGCGUCCUGUGCCUUAGCCAGCUGAGGAGUGGCAUGUGGAGAUGACGAAGCAGGCAGCCCUGGGCCCAGGGGCUGCCUACUCCCUCCAUCUCUGUGCACUGCAGAGCCCCCC